AGUGAACGCUGGCGGCGUGCUUAACACAUGCAAGUCGAACGUGAACGGAAUAUAGCUUGCUAUAUUUGUCAGCUAAGUGGCGCACGGGUGAGUAAUGUAUAGAUAACCUGCCCUUAAGAAAGGAAUAACAGUUGGAAACGACUGCUAAUGCCCUAUAUGCCUUUAAUACAUAAGUAUGCAAGGGAAACGCUUUAGUGCUUAAGGAUGGGUCUGUAUGGUAUCAGCUUGUUGGUGAGGUAAUGGCUCACCAAGGCUAUGACGCCUAACUGGUUUGAGAGGAUGAUCAGUCACACUGGAACCGAGACACGGUCCAGACUCCUACGGGAGGCAGCAGUGGGGAAUAUUGCACAAUGGACGAAAGUCUGAUGCAGCAACGCCGCGUGGAGGAUGACACAUUUCGGUGCGUAAACUCCUUUUAUAUAGGAAGAUAAUGACGGUACUAUAUGAAUAAGCACCGGCUAACUCCGUGCCAGCAGCCGCAGUAA
rnacentral:rRNA from 1 species